ACAUCCCGUGGGCGGGAAGGCCUAAUGCUCGUCUUAUUUCGCCUUAACCCGACUGCCUCGACCUCCUUCGCAACCCUAAGAAGGAUGCCUCCUUCCUUGCCGAGAUGGCCGACUUCCUCCGAAGCGCCCCCGCCGUCGCCUUGCAACCCUCUCUCGAUUAUGCCUUGUUCCUUUUUCUCCUUUUGCUCGAUGCGGCGGUGCAGUGUAGAGAAGAGAAGAAGGCUGACUCGGAUGGGGGUUUUGGGAGUGGCGGUGCCCCAUUAGGUGGGCAUGCGAUCGGUGAUUCUGCGGCAGAAGGGAUGCUAAUGUGCCUACAAGAACUUUGAAAGAAAUGCCAUCUUGGGUCUGUGAAUCAGAUCAUGAAUUUAUUAACGAUGAUGAAGGGGAGGGCUAAUAUGGAAACAUCAUCAUAUGCAAUCGUCAGAAUGAAGAACCACAUAAAGUGUUCAGCUCCAAAUUGUACAGGAUGGCUGCUUUACUCCAUUUGGCUGCUUCAAUGCUACCUGUUUUUUCGAACCUCAUCAAGAUCAUGCAAAAUGUUGAGGUUCCUGAUAGAAACCAUCCUUAUUCUGAUUGUGAACAAUAUUCAGAUCAUGAAUUUAUUAACGAUGAUGAAGGGGAGGGCUAAUAUGGAAACAUCAUCAUAUAUAAUCGUCAGAAUGAAGAACCACCUAAAGUGUUCAGCUCCAAAUUGUACAGGUAACACUUCUCUCAUAAUAGCAAUAUUCUUCUCAGCUGUUCCUUUACAUUUGAUAUUGACUAUAGUAUUGCAUACUGACUGGGCUUAUGAUUUCCUACUAUUUGGCUGGGCCAUUCAGUAAUUAUCACCUAAAAUCUGUAUAUAACUGCUUCAUCGAGGCCUACCAAAUCGGUUUUCCUUGAAAGUCUUAAUCGUUUGCUACAUAUUUACAAAUGUAUAAAUAUAAUUUCACAAGCCCUCUUGUAUAUGCCUUUGUGCUGCCUUGUAAUUUGAGUUGUGUGUGGUGUGUGUGUGUUAUGUACGUUAUGUGUGUGUGUUGUAUGUAUUAUAUUUGUGGGUGUGUCGUGAGUUGUGUGUGUGUUAUGAGUUGUGUGUGUGUGUUGUGUGUUGUGUGUUGUGUGUUGUGUAUGAUGUGUGUGUGUUGUGUGUUGUUUGUUGUUUGUGAUGUGUUGUGUGUGUGUGUUGUGUUUGUCUGUGUGUGUUGUGACUUGUGUGUGUGUUGUGUGUUGUGUAUGUUACGUCUGUGUGUUGUGUGUUGUGUGUGUUAUAAAUUCUGUGUGUGAUGUGUGUGGGUGUUGUGUGUUGUUUGUUGUGUAUAGUGUGUGUGUUUUAUGUGUGAGUGUUAUGAGUUUUGUGUGUGUGUGCUGUGUGUUGUGUUUGAGUGUAGUUGUGUUUAUACGUGUUAUGUGUGUGUGGGUAUUGUGUGUUGUUUGUUGUGUAUAUGUGAGUGUGUUAUGUGAGUCUGUUGUGUGUAUAAGUCUAUGUUGUGUGCAUGUGUGAGUUGUUUUUGUGUAUGUGUAUUGUGAGUUGUUUAUAUGUUACGAGUGUUGUGUGUGUUGUGUUAUGAGUGUUGUGUGUGGGUGUUGUGUAUUAUUUGUCGUGUAUGUGUGCGGGUAUUGUGUUUGUGUAUAUGUGCUGUGUUGUGUGUAAGUGUAUGUGUUGGGUAUGUUAUAUGUGUAUUUGUUAUGUGUUGUGUGUGUAUGUGUAUUGUGUAUGUCUUUGUGUGUUGUUUUUGUGUGUAUUGUUUAUUGUGUAUGUUAUGUGUUGUGUGUGUAUGUGUAUUGUGCUCAAUAUGCUGUUAGUCAGUUUUGAUAAUCACUUAUAUACAUGUAUAUAUUUACCAACAAUUGUGUUUUGUGUGUUCUGGCAAAUUUCUAUGAAGAGACUAUACUGUAUAUAUCUAAUUUGUGUUCUUAGAUAUAUCAGAGGUUUGUUGUAUUUGAUGCUUUCUAUUUCCAAAUUGCCUUUAUCUUGAUGUUUUAGUUUUGAAUUUUUCAUGUAAGCUUGUCAUUGCUUGUCAUUCUGCAUUUCCUCAAAAGUCAAUUUAACUUUACCUUUGGGUCUUGGAAUUUUACAUCUCACCAUCUUUUCCUGCCCUUAUUGUUUGUUUGGCUGCAUCAAGUAUAACAGUAGUAGAAGACCUGGGGUUCCAAGAGUCUGUUUACCAAAGGUUUUGCUUAUUUUUGAUUUUUUUUUUCCAAAAGACUUUAAUCGCUUUCUUUUAUAAGAAAUAUUUAGCUGAAAUAUUUUUUUGACUUUAACAUUUUACAUUAGAGAGAUACAUAACUAAAGUAAUUUAGCUUACAGUUUGACUUGCAUGCAUGCUUAUAUGCACUAAUAUAUAGGUGUAACUUCAAUGCUUAGUCUAAGCUCUGUGGGUAAUCAUAAUUGUUUCAUGUUUUGUUGACCCUUGUUAAGUUUCAAUUGGGAAAUCGUCAUUGUCUUGUUACUGCAAGAUGUGUUAGACAUAUUUGUACUUCUAGUGCACUUUCUGUAUCUUGUGUUAGAUAUAUAUGUGUGUGUUGUGUAUGCUAUGCGUGUGUGUUGUUAUGAGUUGUAUGUGUGUUGUGUGUGUGUGUUGUAUAUAGUGUGUUGUUAAGAUAUGUGCGUUGUGUGUAGUGUGUGUUGUUAUGAGUUAUUUGUAUAUGUGUGUAUUGUGUAUAUUAUGUGUGUGUUGUUACAAGUUUUGUGUGUAUGUGUGUGUGUUGUGUAUGUUAUGUGUUUAUGUAGUGUGUGUUAUGAGUUGCGUGUAUGUGUGUGUUGUUAAAAGAUGUGUGUGUAUGUGUUUGUGUUGUGUAUGUUAUGUGUAUAUGUAGUGUGUGUUGUGUAUGUUAUGUGUAUAUGUAGUAUGUGUUGUGUGUUUGUAUAUUGUGUUUGUGUUGUUUAUGUUAUUGUAUUGUUUUAGUGUGAGUUGUGUGUGUAGUGUGUAGUGCGUGUAGUGUGUGUGUAUUGUGUAUGUGUAGUGUAUGUUAUGUGUUGUGUGUGUAUAUGUGUAUUGUGUGUGUUAUAUUUGUGUUAUUUUCGUGUGUAUUGUUUAUUGUGUGUGUGUGUGUUGUGUGUUUGUAUAUUGUGUAUUUGUAGUGUGGUUUAUUUGUUGUGUGUAUUAUUUAUGUUAUUUUCGUGUGUGUUGUUUAUUAUGUGUGUGUAUGUUGUGUGUGUGUGUUGUUACCAGUUGUAUGUGUAUGUGUUUGUGUUAUGUAUGUUAUGUAUGUAUGAAGUAUGUGCGUAGUAUAUGUUGUGUGUAUGUAUAUUGUGUGUGUGUUGUUUGUGUUGUUAUAUUAUUUUUGUGUGUAGUGUGUGUAGUGUGUAUAUGUAUUAUGUGUUAUACGUUGUGUAUAUAUAAUGUGUAUUGUGUGUGUUGUUUGUGUUAUUUUUGUGUGUGUUGUUUAUUGUGUGUGGUUGUUGUGUGUAUUGUGUGUGUUGUGUUGUUUGUAUAUGUGUAUUAUGUGUAUUGUUUGUAUUAUUUUCUUGUGUUGUUUAUUGUGUGUGUGUUAUGUGUCUGUGUUGUGUGUAUGUGUAUUGUGUUGUGUGUAGUGUUAUGUUGUAUGUGUAUGUGUAUUGUGUAUGUAUGUAGUGCGUGUAUAGUAUGUGUUGUGUGUAUGUGUAUUGUGUGUAUGUGUAAUGUUGUGUGUAGUGUGUGUAUGUGUAGUGUGUGUUGUUUGUAUGUGUAUUGUGCAUAUGUGUAAUGUUGUGUGUAGUGUGUGUGUAGUAUGUGUUGUGUAUGUUAUGUGUGUAUAGUAUGUGUUGUAGUGUGUUGUGUGUGUGUAGUAUGUGUUGUGUAUGUUAUCGUAUUGUUUUUAUGUGUAUUGUGUGUAGUGUGUAUGUGUAUUGUGUGUAUUUGUAUUAUUUUCAUGUGUUGUGUAUUAUGUAUGUGUAGUGUGUGUUAUAUGUUGUUUGUGUUAUUUUCAUGUGUUGUUUAUCGUGUGUGUAUGUGUAUUGUGUGUGUAUGUGUUUGUGUUAUGUAUAUUAUGUUUCUAUAUAGUGUGUGUAGUAUGUGUUGUGUGUGUUGUGUGUAUUGUUUAUGUUGUUAUAUUAUUUUUGUGUGUUGUGUGUAUUGUGUUGUGUGUAUGUAUAUUGUAUGUUAUGUGUUGUGUAUAUUUAUAUGUGUAUUGUGUGUGUUGUUUGUGUUAUUUUUUGUGUGUGUUGUGUGAAUGUGUAUUGUGUAUGUGUAGUGUGUGUUAUGUGUUAUUUGUAUGUGUAUUGUGUGUAUUGUUUGUGGUAUUUUCAUAUGUGUUGUUUAUUGUGUGUGUGUUAUUUGUCUGUGUUGUGUGUAUGUGUAUUGUGUUGUGUGUGUGUAGUGUUAUAUUGUAUGUGUAUGUGUGUAUUGUGUAUGUAUAUAGUGCGUGUGUAGCAUGUGUUGUGUGUGUGUAGCGUGUAUGUAUAUUUGUAGUGUGUGUAGUGUGUGUUGUGUGUAUGUAUUAUUAGGGUUUAGGGUUUAAGGUUUAGGA